rnacentral:rRNA from 1 species
GACGAACGCUGGCGGCGUGCUUAACACAUGCAAGUCGAACGGAAAGGCCCUGCUUUUGUGGGGUGCUCGAGUGGCGAACGGGUGAGUAACACGUGAGUAACCUGCCCUUGACUUUGGGAUAACUUCAGGAAACUGGGGCUAAUACCGGAUAGGAGCUCCUGCUGCAUGGUGGGGUUUGGAAAGUUUCGGCGGUUGGGGAUGGACUCGCGGCUUAUCAGCUUGUUGGUGGGGUAGUGGCUUACCAAGGCUUUGACGGGUAGCCGGCCUGAGAGGGUGACCGGCCACAUUGGGACUGAGAUACGGCCCAGAAUCCUACGGGAGGCAGCAGUGGGGAAUAUUGCACAAUGGGCGGAAGCCUGAUGCAGAAACGCCGCGUGCGGGAUGACGGCCUUCGGGUUGUAAACCGCUUUCGCCUGUGACGAAGCGUGAGUGACGGUAAUGGGUAAAGAAGCAACGGCUAACUACGUG